GGGAAUGUGGUUCAGUGGUAGAGUGCUUGCCUUGCAUGCAUGAAGCCCUGGGUUCCAUUCCUC
rnacentral:tRNA from 1 species